CGGCGGACGGGUGAGUAACGCGUGGGCAACCUGCCUUAUACAGGGGGAUAACAGUUAGAAAUGACUGCUAAUACCGCAUAAGCGCACAGGAACGCAUGUUCCGGUGUGAAAAACUCCGGUGGUAUAAGAUGGGCCCGCGUCUGAUUAGGUAGUUGGUGGGGCAGCGGCCUACCAAGCCGACGAUCAGUAGCCGACCUGAGAGGGUGACCGGCCACAUUGGGACUGAGACACGGCCCAAACUCCUACGGAAGGCAGCAG
rnacentral:rRNA from 1 species